rnacentral:rRNA from 1 species
GACGAACGCUGGCGGCGUGCCUAAUACAUGCAAGUCGAACGCAGUGGGGACGGGUGAGUAACACGUGGGUAACCUCCCAUCAGAGGGGAUAACCCUUGGAAACAGGUGCUAAACCGAUACUGAUGGAUGGACCCGCGUGGGAUUAGCUAGUUGGUGAGGUAACGGCUCACCAAGGCGACGAUGCAUAGCCGACCUGAGAGGAUGAUCGGCCACACUGGAACUGAGACACGGCCCAGACUCCUACGGGAGGCAGCAGUAGGGAAUCUUCGGCAAUGGACGAAAGUCUGACGGAGCAACGCCGCGUGAGUGAAGAAGGUUUUCGGAUCGUAAAACACUGUUGUUAGAGAAGCGGUAUCUAACCAGAAAGCCACGGCUAACUACGUGCCAGCAGCCGCGGUAAUAC